GACGAAGGUGGCUAGCGUUGUUCGGAAUCACUGGGCUUAAAGCGCAUGUAGGCGUCCUGUUAAGUGCCUUGUGAAAUCCCUCGGCUCAACCGAGGAACUGCUUGGCAUACUGGCAGGAUUGAGGCAGGUAUGGGUGCAUGGAACUCUUGGUGGAGCGGUGAAAUGCGUAGAUAUCAAGAGGAACGCCGGAGGUGAAGACGAUGCACUGGGCCUGUCCUGACGCUGAGAUGCGAAAGCCAGGGGAGCAAACGGG
rnacentral:rRNA from 1 species